GAAAUCUUCUUUCUCCAUCGUCCUCGGCUUGCAAAUUCGAUGGCUGCGAUCGCUUGUUCUGUUGAAGGUUCGUACUCGUUUAGCUGGCGUCCUCAUCCUUUGGGUGAAGAGAGGAUUUCGAAUUCAAAAGGGGACAUGGAAUCACGAAUUUGCCCCAAACCUUCUUUCGUUUUCACCCCGCUCUCCACCUUUGAGCAGUAGC
rnacentral:misc_RNA from 1 species